rnacentral:tRNA from 1 species
GGUGCGGUACCCAAGUGGCUAAGGGAGCGGUCUGCAAAACCGCUAUUCGUCGGUUCAAUUCCGACCCGCACCU